rnacentral:rRNA from 1 species
UUUAUGGAGAGUUUGAUCCUGGCUCAGGAUGAACGCUGGCGGCGUGCCUAAUACAUGCAAGUCGAGCGAACAGAUAAGGAGCUUGCUCCUUUGACGUUAGCGGCGGACGGGUGAGUAACACGUGGGUAACCUACCUAUAAGACUGGAAUAACUCCGGGAAACCGGGGCUAAUGCCGGAUAACAUUUAGAACCGCAUGGUUCUAAAGUGAAAGAUGGUUUUGCUAUCACUUAUAGAUGGACCCGCGCCGU